GCUGGCCCUGAUCGAAGCCAUGUUCAGCUGAAACCAGUAGCUCAUGUGGUCAAAACAGGCGCCCAGAGUGAAAUUCCCUUCCAUAGACGGUCGCUACUCAGACUUGUACUCGUGUCUGACUCGCAACAUUGUUAUGGAAGACAAUG